AACGAACGCUGGCGGCAUGCCUAACACAUGCAAGUCGAACGGGAUCCAGGCUUCGGCCUGGUGAGAGUGGCGGACGGGUGAGUAACACGUGGGAACCUGCCUUUUGGUUCGGGAUAACCGCGGGAAACUGCGGCUAAUACCGGAUGCUCCCGAGAGGGGAAAGAUUUAUCGCCAGAAGAGGGGCCCGCGUCCGAUUAGGUAGUUGGUGAGGUAAUGGCUCACCAAGCCGACGAUCGGUAGCUGGUCUGAGAGGAUGAUCAGCCACACUGGGACUGAGAUACGGCCCAGACUCCUACGGGAGGCAGCAGUGGGGAAUAUUGGACAAUGGGCGAAAGCCUGAUCCAGCAAUGCCGCGUGAGUGAUGAAGGCCUUAGGGUUGUAAAGCUCUUUUACCCGAGAUGAUAAUGACAGUAUCGGGAGAAUAAGCUCCGGCUAACUCCGUGCCAGCAGCCGCGGUAU
rnacentral:rRNA from 1 species